rnacentral:lncRNA from 1 species
AACGAAAUAAAGUAAAAUAGUUAAAAUAGCUAUACUAGACCCAAUUUCACAUAUUCACGCUAAAAAUGUGAAAAUUCUCGGGGAGGGUCAAAAAUCACGUGCUUACAGCGUGUAUGAGGAGUGCUUUUACCUUUUUUUAGGUGCCACCAACACAAUCGGAGGAUCAUUGACAAUCAUCUCCACAUCUAUUCCAGUGGUAUUUUCCAUCUAUAAAGAGAGUCUCAACAGAAAAUAAAACUUUCUAAUUAUUAACUGAAAUUUAAAGAAAAAUAAACGAGAAAAAAAGAAGUUCGGAAGCUUCUCAAAUCUAAAGGGAUAAAAUAACAUAAUUAGUUUAAUAUAAUGCUUUAGCUUACCAAAGGAGAUUCCUGCUUUGCAAUUCUUGUUAAGAAGCUCCAGUGAAGUGGAUGGAAGAGUUUUCACUAUUUGGGGUUCUUUGACUUUGGAGUUGGAAGAUGGGAAAG